UUCCUACGGGAGGCAGCAGUGGGGAAUAUUGCACAAUGGGCGCAAGCCUGAUGCAGCCAUGCCGCGUGUAUGAAGAAGGCCUUCGGGUUGUAAAGUACUUUCAGCGGGGAGGAAGGCGAUAAGGUUAAUAACCUUGUCGAUUGACGUUACCCGCAGAAGAAGCACCGGCUAACUCCGUGCCAGCAGCCGCGGUAAUACA
rnacentral:rRNA from 1 species